ACGCUGGCGGAAUGCUUUACACAUGCAAGUCGAACGGCAGCACGGGAGCUUGCUCCUGGUGGCGAGUGGCGAACGGGUGAGUAACACAUCGGAACAUGCCUAGUCGUGGGGGAUACCGUAGCGAAAGUUACGUUAAUACCGCAUACGUCCUGAGGGAGAAAGCAGGGGAUUCGCAAGAACCUUGCGCGAUUAGAGUGGCCGAUGCCUGAUUAGCUUGUUGGUGAGGUAAUGGCUCACCAAGGCGACGAUCAGUAGCGGGUCUGAGAGGAUGAUCCGCCACACUGGAACUGAGACACGGUCCAGACUCCUACGGGAGGCAGCAGUGGGGAAUUUUGGACAAUGGGGGCAACCCUGAUCCAGCCAUUCCGCGUGAGUGAAGAAGGCCUUCGGGUUGUAAAGCUCUUUCAGCUGGAACGAAACGGUACGCUCUAACAUAGCGUAUUAAUGACGGUACCAGCAGAAGAAGCACCGGCUAACUACGUGCCAGCAGCCGCGGUAAUACGUAGGGUGCGAGCGUUAAUCGGAAUUACUGGGCGUAAAGCGUGCGCAGGCGGAUUGUUAAGCAAGAUGUGAAAUCCCCGGGCUUAACCUGGGAAUGGCAUUUUGAACUGGCAAUCUAGAGUGUGUCAGAGGGGGGUAGAAUUCCACGUGUAGCAGUGAAAUGCGUAGAGAUGUGGAGGAAUACCGAUGGCGAAGGCAGCCCCCUGGGAUAACACUGACGCUCAUGUACGAAAGCGUGGGUAGCAAACAGGAUUAGAUACCCUGGUAGUCCACGCCCUAAACGAUGUCAACUGGUUGUUGGGAGAGUGAAAUCUCUUAGUAACGAAGC
rnacentral:rRNA from 1 species